GGCAAUGAGCUGCAGAAAAUUCUAACUUGUUGAAAUCCCGGAAAGAAACAGAAGAUUCCACCAGGAGUACAACCCAGAGAUGUGAUCUACUCAGGCCAGAAAUGGACAUCCCAAUAGAGCAAGACUCUCUCUAACAUGGCGCUGUUUGUCAACGUUAGUCCCAGAGGUAGCCAUCAUGUGUACCAUCUGUCAGUCAAGCAGCCUCUCUUUCUCUCAUGGUCUUCUUGUUCUGUUCUCUCCUUUACCUUCCUUUGUUCU